rnacentral:rRNA from 1 species
GUAGGUGGCAAGCGUUGUCCGGAAUUAUUGGGCGUAAAGCGCGCGCAGGCGGUCCUUUAAGUCUGAUGUGAAAGCCCGCGGCUCAACCGUGGAGGGUCAUUGGAAACUGGGGGACUUGAGUACAGAAGAGGAAAGCGGAAUUCCAAGUGUAGCGGCGAAAUGCGUAGAGAUUUGGAGGAACACCAGUGGCGAAGGCGGCUUUCUGGUCUGUAACUGACGCUGAGGCGCGAAAGCGUGGGGAGCAAACAGGAUUAGAUACCCUGGUAGUCCACGCCGUAAACGAUGAGUGCUAAGUGUUAGGGGGUUUCCCGCCCCCCUUAGUGCUGCAGCUAACGCAUUAAGCACUCCGCCUGGGGAGUACGGCCGCAAGGCUG